rnacentral:rRNA from 1 species
GAGAGCUUGCUCUCGGGUGACGAGCGGCGGACGGGUGAGUAAUGUCUGGGAAACUGCCUGAUGGAGGGGGAUAACUACUGGAAACGGUAGCUAAUACCGCAUAACGUCGCAAGACCAAAGUGGGGGACCUUCGGGCCUCAUGCCAUCAAAUGUGCCCAGAUGGGAUUAGCUAGUAGGUGGGGUAAUGGCUCACCUAGGCGACGAUCCCUAGCUGGUCUGAGAGGAUGACCAGCCACACUGGAACUGAGACACGGUCCAGACUCCUACGGGAGGCAGCAGUGGGGAAUAUUGCACAAUGGGCGCAAGCCUGAUGCAGCCAUGCCGCGUGUAUGAAGAAGGCCUUCGGGUUGUAAAGUACUUUCAGCGAGGAGGAAGGCAUUAAGGUUAAUAACCUUAGUGAUUGACGUUACUCGCAKAACAAGCACCGGCUA